rnacentral:lncRNA from 1 species
UACAGAAGUGUCAUUGACAGUCUAAAAUAUCUCACAUUUACACGUCCUGAUAUUGCUUAUACAGUGAAUACAAUGUGUCAAUUUACGCAAACUCUUAGACAACCUCAUUGGGAAGCCACCAAAAGAAUUUUGAGGUAUUUAAAGGGUAUUAUACGUGAUGACAUGUUCUAUACUUCUUCAAACUCACCUGAUCCCAAAGCAUAUUCUGAUGCUGAUGGGCGGGGUGCCCUAAUGAUCGUCGGUUCAUUACAUGAUUUUGUAUCUUCUUGGGAAAGAGUUUAAUUUCCUGAAGAAGCAAAAAACGAUAUCAAAAUCUAGUACAGAGUCAGAAUAUCAAGCAAUGAGUAUUGUAGCUCUAUACUUCUUCAAACUCGCCUGAUCCCAAAGCAUAUUCUGAUGCUGAUUGGGCGGGGUGCCCUAAUGAUCGUCGGUUCAUUACAGGAUUUUGUAUCUUCUUGGGAAAUAGUUUAAUUUCCUAGAGAAGCAAAAAACGAUAUCAAAAUCUAGUGCAGAGUCGGAAUAUCAAGCAAUGAGUAUUGUAGCAGCAGAAAUCACUUGGCUACGCAUGCUUCUUAAAGAAAUUGGAGUUGCCACAAUUAAGCCAAUCAUUCUAAGUUGUGAUAAUCGAAGUGCCAUGCGAUUAGCCAUCAAUCAUGUCUUUCAUGCUCGCACCAAACACAUAAAAGUUGAUUAUCAUUUCAUUAAAGAGAAGGUAGUAUCAUGACAUUUGUUCUUUCAUCAAUUUGUAGGCAUAUUUACUAAGGCACUUACAAGAUCAAGACACGAAAAGUCCAUAGCUAAGCUCUGAAUGCACAAGAUGCAUGCUUGGCUUUAAGGGGUUGUUAGAGAGAGACUUGUCUUUUGAAAUAUUGUAUAGGGCUUUAAUCAUUCUUUUAUUCUUUAUCUUUAAGGGUAAAUAUGUCCAUUGUAUACAUAAGUAUACUACAUACUUAAUCUAAAGAGGUAUGAAAUGGAUGGUGGUGUCCUCUUCAAUAUCUCUCUUUAGGGUUUCAUAAGUUUAACAUACUAUAAUAUUCCCAAAAUAAAGGAAAAAAAAAAAUUCCAGGUGGAAGCCCAUCUACCUCUCUUUCAAUUUGUUAACGUAAUAAGAAGUUAAGAGAGAGAGAGAGAGAGAGAGAGAGAGAGAGAAUUGGUGGUGGUGGUGGUGGUGUGGGUGGUGUUAUAAAGGUUGGGAGGGAAGCGGCGGAGAAGGAGAAGGGGAAAGGGAUGGAGGCGAUAGUGGAAGAAUGUUUCUGCAACAAGGAAGAAACCCUACUAACGGUGCUAAAGACUUCGGUGUUCUUUGCAGGAGAUGGAUUCGCGGUGUAUGACCCCAUGGGACAGCUAUUGUUCCGAGUUGAUAGCUAUGGGGGGC